CGGCCCGGACACCGCCGGACACGGCCCGGACACCGCCCGGACACGCUUUGUGCAAACCCGGGCCUGCCCCCUCCCUGGAAACCGCGCUAAAGUCCGUUAAUACCACUCAGUGCGUUAAGUCUUACACCGAGUCCGCAAAAAGCAAGCAUUUCUUUCUUCCUCCCGUUCUUCCCCCUCCCCCCCCCAUUGGAAAGCUACAGGUCAGAGAUCAGGCCUUGCUGCUGUGUACUGCAGCAGCCACGAAUGACUUCACCCUGGAGCUACCCAAACUGCACCUGGAGACCUUUUCAGAGGAAGGGCUGAAGGGCAGGCCAGAGGCUGCAGCAUUUCAGG